UACGGAGGGUGCAAGCGUUGCUCGGAAUUAUUGGGCGUAAAGGGCAGGUAGGUGGUCUUAUUUGUCAGGGGUGAAAGCCUUGGGCUUAACCCAAGAAGUGCCCCUGAAACGGUAGGACUAGAGUACUGGAGAGGCGAGUGGAAUUCCGGGUGUAGCGGUGGAAUGCGUAGAGAUCCGGAAGAACACCGGUGGCGAAGGCGGUCUGCUGGGGUAAUGCUGACACUGAUGCGCGACAGCGUGGGGAGCAAACAGG
rnacentral:rRNA from 1 species